rnacentral:rRNA from 1 species
GAUCAACGCUGGCGGCGCACAUAAGACAUGCAAGUUGAACGGACUUAAUCGAAAUAUUUCUAUUUUGAAGCGGUUAGUGGCGGACUGGUGAGUAACGCGUAAGGAACCUGCCUAUUAGAGGGGAAUAACAGUGAGAAAUCAUUGCUAAUACCGCAUAUGCCAUAGAUAUCACAUGAUAACAGUGGGAAAGGAGCAAUCCGCUAAUAGAUGGCCUUGCGUCUGAUUAGAUAGUUGGUGGGGUAACGGCCUACCAAGUCGACGAUCAGUAGCCGGACUGAGAGGUUGAACGGCCACAUUGGGACUGAGAUACGGCCCAGACUCCUACGGGAGGCAGCAGUCGGGAAUAUUGCGCAAUGGAGGAAACUCUGACGCAGUGACGCCGCGUAUAGGAAGAAGGUUUUCGGAUUGUAAACUAUUGUCGUUAGGGAAGAGAAAGGACAGUACCUAAGGAGGAAGCUCCGGCUAACUACGUG